AUGGGAGAGACGAAUUUGGCAGGGAAGAUUUCACGCUUCCUUUCUUCUGUGCAGCUCUACUGGUAAUACAGAUGAGGCAUGCGUUUGCUUUCAGCCUUCAUGGAUGGCACCACGCUCACUUCCUUUCCCUCCCCCUGCUCUGGUGCUCUAAGCAAGGGCAUGCGAGUCACAUAUCAAAGGCCAACACAAGUUUUACUUCUACCUAAUAAUGCACUUCCAGCUUGUUCAGCGCCUGCCUGUUCAGACUGUCAGAUUCCAGCUAGAAGUGUUUGUAAACAGAGCUGAAGAAACUCUCCCAACUUUGCCUCAAGUACUGCAGCAUGGAUAUUAUAGUCAUGAAAUGAAUGUCCCUGGGAAGAAAACAGAUAUACUCAGUAACCUACCCUAUGGCACUGAGCUUUGUAUUACAAAGAGCAGGAGAGAAUGAGGAACUUUGCAAAGGGUGUUUAUGAAUAGCUGCUAUGCAAACUAGUAAAAACAAGUCAUCUGAGAAAGAGAAGGAACAUUGACUGCUUUGACAACUGCCUUACCAUUGCUAAGGAAACUGCUCCCUUGGUAACCAUGCCACUGGCAGGUCAACUAACAAGAGAAGAAUGACUGGCAACAGGCUAGAAACUACAAUGGGCUGGCGUGUUUACAGCUCCAUCAACAGCUCGGUGUUAAUGAACUGAGUCUUAAAAUUACCUCUCUAUUGAUGAUGGCUUGAAUGUAGCACAUGUAUUUAAAGGUUAGUGAUUGCCUCUGGCGGCGUUCUGAAUUUGGGGAGAGUUUAUUUUUCGCUUGCAGAUUUAACUCUUUUUUUGAAAGGAGGCAGUCAAAGUCCUAUAAACCACAAUCCCCCCCAACUGCACUACUCUCGUUUUGCUACCUUCACGACUGGCAAGGAUCUCAGCGUUACAACUCAAAUGCCCUGGGGUACGUGACUUUGCUCUGUCCAUAGCGCGUCUAGAUGAGAAAGAGAAUGAGCAAACUUAUAUUUCAGUUUUGACUGGAAACUUAACAUUUGUGCAGGUUUGUCUUAUUUUUCGCUAAAAAAACACCACCCGCCAGGAAACAAAAAAACCCAGGAAAGCAAGGUUGCCUGUUAAUGCAACAAGACGAGGAUGGGAAAUACGUACGAGUAAACCAGGUGGUGUCGAUGAUGCUUUGGCUGAAUGAAAUGGGAACAGACUGGAGAAGAGUCUCUGGAGGAUAUCGGGCUAGGACUUCCUGUUUACCAGUGAGAUAGGCCAGAAGCUUUUCCAGACUGGCUUCAUUUUCUUCAUCAAGGCACAAGCUACAGUUUCUUGGGGACUCUUAGAGCAGUAUUGCUGCAUGCAUUUUAAUCUGUGAUGUAGGCAGCUCAUGCAAAGAUCUGGUUUCUUCAAAGUCCGUGGCACCUAACCGCACACCACUCUCAGUGAUGUCCUGUAGAUACAUUUUUUAUGAUGUUUAGGGGCAGCUUUCUCGGGUAGGGGAGCUUUCACUGCUCCAGGAAUAGUCUAGUUAUACAACACAGUUACUUAUCAGACUAGUUCAGGGGUGGGCAAUUAUUUUGGGCAGAGAGCCACUUACUGAGUUUUGGCAAGCCAUCGAGGGGUGCAUGACAGGCAGCCAGGGGCAGAUAAAUAUUAAUUUUCUAAAUUUUUUAGGGGCCCCGCGGGCCGCAUCCGGCCCCUGGGCCGCAUUUUGCCCACCCUUGCCCCAAUUUAAAAGGCUGUUGAAACCUACAGCUCUUAUGAGCUUUGGGGAUCUGCUUUUGGUAACCAGCUGUUGAAUACUUCCCCUAAAAAUUUAGAUCAGUAAAUCCACGUUUUUGCUGGUUACAACACCCAUCCUGUUCAGAAUAAGGAAAACCAGAUUAAUUAUUUUUAGCACAAUGCCCUGGUUAUAUAGUGAAAAUUGUAGUAUAUUUUAAAACAAUAGAUACCGUUUGUAAAAUAAUAAAUUUAUGAGCAAGAAAAGGUGGCCCUUUAUUUGUGAAACAAAGGCUUUUAAACAAUUUGGCGAAGCACAAAAAGUGUACCCUGUUGAAGACAGACUGUGGAAACGUUAACAUCCUUUUGAGGUAAAUCAAGUAAUGGACUGUUGGCCUAUUUUUCAAACCACUUCUCCUCAGUAACUUGACAUUUGAUAGGAUUAUCUAUUACAGUUGGAUUUUGGUUGACUCUCUGGUAUGCCUGAGAAGAUUGUCAUCUUGUGAUUUAAAGAUAAUAGAGCCAAGCAUGUGAAACUGCACACAAAGAAUAAACCUUUGACUCAUAACUGAGGGGUUUUUUUUUUUCUUUUUGAAGAGGAAGAAUUUGUCUUCAGCUUGUUUUGAUACACUCACUGGUAAUGAAAUUAUCCAAUGAUAACUUUCUAUUCUAGAUGUUGCCUUAUUAUUUUUUUUAAAGGCUAUUAUUGCAUUCCACAUAGAACAGCACCAACAUAGCAUGGUAUGCUAAUGAUAUAAAAAUCUGAGAAGAGUGAGGUUGAUUAAAGACUUGUGACAAUAGCUAAUGUAAGCUUUUACUAAGAAUGUCAAAUCCAUUUGUUUUGGAUUUAAAAGAGAGUUUCAGGAUCAGUAUGAAAAGGAAAAAGUUUGCAACAAUUCCAAGGGAAAACCAGAUUAGUAGCAAAGGCAAUGGUGCAUAGAAGUGAAACAAAGUGUGUGUGUGUGUGUAUGUGUGUACGUGUGUGUGUGUGUAAGAGCGAGAGUGACAGAGAACAAUACAAACAGCAGCAAAAAAACUCAAUCAUUUCAGGCUUCCAAAACGUGCAACAUGUAUUUUUACUACAAAGCCCCACAAUUGGCAAUUAAAAAAAAAAAAUGGAGUGAGGUAGAGUGGGUUUUUUUUCAUUAUGCAUGGUUUUAUUUCUUUGGACUUCAAAAUUACCAAGAUGCAUUUUAAACUUCGCUACAAUGUACAGGGCUGUUUUCAUUUCUAUUUUAGCAAGGCUAAAUACUAAGAAUCGUCUCUGCUUUGCAUUCUAAUUGCAUGUAACUGAUUUGCACAGCAGAACAAAAACCUAAUUUUCAGAUUAUGAAUCAUGCAAGAAGAAAUAACAAUUGUUCCACUAGAAAAAAUAAUUUUUCCACUUUUUUUUCCCCCUUGCUCAAUUUAUGUGAACUGUUUUCCAGUUUGCAGGUUGCUUGCUUUCACAGACCACCAUCUAUUACUCUUCAGGGACGAGAAUAAGGCAGACAGAAACACGAAACAUGCAACUGUUUUGACUGCAUUCUUUGGCUUGCAACAUAACACUUGCCUUUUAUUAUUUUAUCUUCAACAAUCAAGGGGUGACUAAAUGGUUGCAGGUGGUGAUGAAAAUAAAAGCCAUCCAUCAUUAUUUAUUAGGCAUGAAAAAGAUACACAAUAAUGUAAUUUAAUCUCAGAGCAGACAAUUAUUUCCACAUAUUGAUAAUACAAUGUGAAAACUGUCAUGAAUCCUAAUGUGAUGUUCGCCUUUAUUGGUGAACCACUAGUAGCAAUACAAAUAAUGAAAUUGUAUCAAAAGGGAAAAAAAAAGUCAUUAUUUGCAUAUCCCAGUACUGUUGUCGAGAACCACAUCAUUACUAACUUUGGGAAUUGCAAUAAUCACAGUUUGCAUUACUUUAUCCCCAGUGCGUGAAAAUGCGAAAAAGCUGACAUUUCGCUACAUAAAUACGUUAUUGGUUGCUGUGUCAUUAAAAUCAUGCCUUUUUUGGUGGCACAGGUGGAGUUUUGGGAGCUAAAUCCCAAGUGGCCCUCGCCACAAGCCCCAGAGAUCAUGGGAUUGCCCCAGUUCAUUAGGCAUCUUCACCAUGAGCUGCCAAGUAUCUAUGCUAGGGCUUCUGCAUCUUCCCAAAUGUGUUUGCAGAACACUUAGGUGCACAUAGUUCUCCUGUGCAACAUGAAGUUUUGUUUCUACCUGGGAAAAAUUUUACAAUCUUUGACUUCUCCUUUGCCUGAUGAAGGGUGUUUGGGCCCAAAAGCUUGCAAAUAUAUAUAUAUAUUUUUUGCAACUAUCUAAUUGGUCCAAUAAAAGAUAUCACCUCUACCCCAAGGGUUUUGUCUGCCUAUGCCUCUAGACCAAGACGGCUACAUCAAAUAUCCCUGAAACAUGGAAGAUGGUGUAAUUAGCCGCUUUGAAAUGAAACCUUCACAACAUAAGAACAAAGAAGCAAAAUCCAGCAUCCUGCCUGCCAUUGGUCACCUUGAGGUGAACAACUGGCUUCAGCCUGUGUUUGAGCCUAAUUUGCAUACUCACAGAGCAGCUUUUUUACAAAUGAACUUUACCACCCAGGAGCACCAUAUCACCUUUUAAUUCUCUUGUGCAACAUGAACAAUGAGAAGGAAGCUAAAUUCAGCAACCUACCUCCCAUCAGGCACCCAAGGUAAACCAACUGCUACAGCCUUCAUUUGAGCCUAAUUUGCAUAUUCGCAGAAUAACCUCUUUACAAAUGAACUUUCCUGCCUAGGAGAACCAUACUAGCUUUUUAGUUCUCCUGUGCCAUAUGAAGUUUCCUUUCUAUCUGGGAGAAGUUUUACAAUCUUUGAUGAACGGUGUUUGGGCCCGAAAACUUGCAAAUAAAAACAUUUUUUUUGUAACGAUCUAGUUGGUCUAAUAAAAGAUAUUGCCUCUA